CGAACGGGUGAGUAACACGUGAGCAACCUGCCCCCUACUUCGGGAUAAGCCUUGGAAACGGGGUCUAAUACCGGAUAUGAACACGUGCCGCAUGGUGGGUGUUGGAAAGUUUUUCGGUGGGGGAUGGGCUCGCGGCCUAUCAGCUUGUUGGUGGGGUAAUGGCCUACCAAGGCGUCGACGGGUAGCCGGCCUGAGAGGGCGACCGGCCACACUGGGACUGAGACACGGCCCAGACUCCUACGGGAGGCAGCAGUGGGGAAUAUUGCACAAUGGGCGAAAGCCUGAUGCAGCGACGCCACGUGAGGGAUGACGGCCUUCGGGUUGUAAACCUCUUUCAGCAGGGAAGAAGCGCAAGUGACGGUACCUGCAGAAGAAGCGCCGGCUAACUACGUGCCAGCAGCCGCGGUAAUACGUAGGGCGCAAGCGUUGUCCGGAAUUAUUGGGCGUAAAGAGCUCGUAGGCGGUCUGUCGCGUCUGGUGUGAAAUCCCAUGGCUCAACUGUGGGCUUGCAUCGGGUACGGGCAGACUAGAGUGCUGUAGGGGAGACUGGAAUUCCUGGUGUAGCGGUGGAAUGCGCAGAUAUCAGGAGGAACACCGAUGGCGAAGGCAGGUCUCUGGGCAGUUACUGACGCUGAGGAGCGAAAGCAUGGGGAGCGAACAGGAUUAGAUACCCUGGUAGUCCAUGCCGUAAACGUUGGGCACUAGGUGUGGGGCCAGUUCCACUGGUUCUGUGCCGUAGCUAACGCAUUAAGUGCCCCGCCUGGGGAGUACGGCCGCAAGGCUAAAACUCAAAGGAAUUGACGGGGGCCCGCACAAGCGGCGGAGCAUGCGGAUUAAUUCGAUGCAACGCGAAGAACCUUACCAAGGCUUGACAUGUACGAGAAAGCCCCAGAGAUGGGGUUCUCUUUGGACACUCGUACACAGGUGGUGCAUGGUUGUCGUCAGCUCGUGUCGUGAGAUGUUGGGUUAAGUCCCGCAACGAGCGCAACCCUUAUCCUAUGUUGCCAGCGGGUUAUGCCGGGGACUCAUGGGAGACUGCCGGGGUCAACUCGGAGGAAGGUGGGGAUGACGUCAAAUCAUCAUGCCCCUUAUGUCUUGGGCUUCACGCAUGCUACAAUGGCCGGUACAGAGGGCUGCGAUACCGUGAGGUGGAGCGAAUCCCAAAAAGCCGGUCUCAGUUCGGAUCGGGGUCUGCAACUCGACCCCGUGAAGUCGGAGUCGCUAGUAAUCGCAGAUCAGCAACGCUGCGGUGAAUACGUUCCCGGGCCUUGUACACACCGCCCGUCAAGUCACGAAAGUUG
rnacentral:rRNA from 1 species